UACGGAGGGGGCGAGCGUUAUUCGGAAUUAUUGGGCGUAAAGGGCGCGUAGGCGGCCAUGCGUGUCUUCCGUGAAAUCCCUCGGCUCAACCGAGGACGUGCGGAAGAAACUGCAAGGCUCGAGUCCGGAAGAGGGGGGCGGAAUUCCCAGUGUAGCGGUGAAAUGCGUAGAUAUUGGGAGGAACACCAGUGGCGAAGGCGGUCCCCUGGGCCGGAACUGACGCUGAUGCGCGAAAGCGUGGGGAGCGAUCCGG
rnacentral:rRNA from 1 species